GGGUGCAAUCAUACGAGCACUAAUGCACUGGAUACCAUCAAAAUUCCAAAGUUAAGCGUGCUUGGGCGAGAGAAGUACUAGGAUGGGUGACCUCCUGGGAAGUCCUCGUAUUGCACCCC
rnacentral:rRNA from 1 species